GAUGAAGAACGUAGCGAAAUGCGAUACGUAAUGUGAAUUGCAGAAUUCAGUGAAUCAUCGAAUCUUUGAACGCAUAUUGCGCUCUCUGGUAUUUCGGAGAGCAUGCUUGUUUGAGUAUCAGUAAACACCUCAACUUCCAUAUCUUUUUUGAAAUGGGAGUUGGACUUGAGUGAUCCCAACGCUUUUCCUCACCGAAAAGUGGCGGGUUACUUGAAAUGCAGGUGCAGCUGGACUUUUCUCUGAGCUAUAAGCAUAUCUAUUUAGUCUGCCUAAAAAACAGAUUAUUACCUUUGCUGCAGCUAACAUAAAGGAGAUUAGUUCUUGUGCUGACUGAUGCAGGAUUCACAAAGACAGGCUUCGGCCGACUUUGUAAACUCGAUCUCAAAUCAAGUAAGACUACCCGCUGAACUUAAGCAUAUCAAUAAGCGGAGGA
rnacentral:misc_RNA from 1 species